UUGUUUCUUGUCUUCACCAAAAGCUAAAGCUAGUUAGCUGGAGACGCUUUGAACAGAUCAAACUUUAUUCUGUGAACUUGAAUAUGUUUUUUGAAGAGCUCCAGAAGUACAAAGGCCGACAGUAAUCCGGAACAAGAAGAAAACGUGAAGUUAGCGCGAAAAGAUGGAACAGCUGAGAAGGUUGUUGAAACAGCGGCUAACUGCUGCUAAUGCCGAGUCUGGACAGUGUGGUAGAGUUUUGUCUUUUGGACGGUCGUCUGCGCCUUUUGUCUCUGCUGUUGGUCGCUGCUGAUCAGUCUUUCUACAAACAUGUCUGAAGUCCAGCAGCUGAGGGACAUGUUAAAACUACAGC